rnacentral:rRNA from 1 species
UGAGUAACACGUGAGUGACCUGCCUUUUAGACUGGAACAACUUACCGGAAGGUGAGCUAAUGCCGGAUGAGUUAUAUAAGUGCAUGUUUAUAUAGGAAAAGUUGGGGAGACCUGACGCUGAAAGAUGGACUCGCGUCCCAUUAGCUAGUUGGUAGGGUAAUGGCCUACCAAGGCGACGAUGGGUAGCCGGCCUGAGAGGGUGGCCGGCCACACUGGGACUGAGACACGGCCCAGACUCCUACGGGAGGCAGCAG